CGUGCUUAACACAUGCAAGUCGAACGGUGACGAACAGAGCUUGCUUUGUUCUGAUCAGUGGCGAACGGGUGAGUAACACGUGAGUAACCUGCCCCAGACUCUGGAAUAAGCGCUGGAAACGACUGUUAAUACCGCAUAAUGUCUACGGACCAAAGUGUGGGACCUUCGGGCCACAUGCUAUCGGAUGCGCCUACGUGGGAUUAGCUAGUUGGUGAGGUAAUGGCUCACCAAGGCGACGAUUGCUAGCUGGUUUGAGAGGAUGAUCAGCCACACUGGAACGGAGAAACGGUCCAGACUCCUACGGGAGGCAGCAGUGGGGAAUAUUGGACAAUGGGCGCAAGCCUGAUCCAGCCAUGCCGCGUGUGUGAAGAAGGCCUUCGGGUUGUAAAGCACUUUCAGCGAGGAGGAAGGGUGGUGUGUUAAUAGCACAUCAUUUUGACGUUACUCGCAGAAGAAGCACCGGCUAACUCUGUGCCAGCAGCCGCCGUAAUAC
rnacentral:rRNA from 1 species